rnacentral:rRNA from 1 species
GCUAAACGCGAAGAACCUUACCAAGGCUUGACAUAUACCGUUUAUCCCUAGAGAUAGGGAGUCCUUCGGGCGGUAUACAGGUGGUGCAUGGUUGUCGUCAGCUCGUGUCGUGAGAUGUUGGGUUAAGUCCCGUAACGAGCGCAACCCUUGUCCUUAGUUACCAGCACGUUAUGGUGGGCACUCUAAGGAGACUGCCGGUGACAAACCGGAGGAAGGUGGGGAUGACGUCAAGUCAUCAUGGCCCUUACGGCCUGGGCUACACACGUGCUACAAUGGUCGGUACAGAGGGUUGCCAAGCCGCGAGGUGGAGCUAAACUCAAAAGCCGGUCCCAGUUCGGAUUGUAGGCUGAAACUCGCCUACAUGAAGUUGGAGUUGCUAGUAAUGGCGAGUCAGCAACAUCGCCGUGAAUACGUUCCCGGGUCUUGUACACACCG